AAAGAGCCAAAAAGCAAGAAAGACAAUAACAGACAUAAAUUCCAUUAUUUUCGUUUCCUCUGAAAAUCUCCGGCAAGGCUAGCAAUCCACCGGAGGGCUACGCCGCCGGCGACGAUUUUCUCGAGCAAAUUCUGGCUAUUCCUUCUUACUCUAGCCUCCCGGUAACUGAUAUUGGUGCCUGUGCUUCAUCGAAAACGACGUCGUCCGAUUCAGUAUCUGGUGCCUCUCAGCUCCAGCAGCCGCCGCAGCCGUUGGGGUUAAGCUUAGAUAAUGGCCGUGAUGACGUCAGCAGAUCCGGAGCUUUUGCAGUGAAGCACGUACUGAGCAUGAGUAGGCUGGGAGGAGCUAGCGCGGUGGCACAACUUGUUACUGACAUUCCAUUGCAAUCUGUUGAGGGGGACAGUGGUGAAAGUCGAUCCAAUCAGCAUGUCUGGGACAAGUGGUCCAAUGCCGAAACUGAUAGGUUAUGUGCUUUCGCGUUUUAAUGAUUUAACAAACUUUUUAUGAGAACCAGAUAGGGAACCUGAUAUCAAGUCUCAAAGUGCUCGGAACAACAAGUCACAUGUCUGGCACAAGUUCCAAUAAUAUCAGUUAAAGGAACAAUAGAGGGAACAGAUGGCUAUCAGUUCCUCCGGUCACAGUACAAGUCAACUCCUUACAGCUGUUAAAGCUGUUGCUGCACGAUACACGCAACAGUGCAACAGUCACUUUUUGAAGCAUGUUGUGUAUCGGAUACUUGCUUACAUCAUUCCAAUGACCUCACUUAUAUAUUACCAACAUGAGGCAAGAGAUCAAAUACACUUGCAAAAACCCUAAAAUAUCAAUUCUCUCUCAAGUGUGCAACCGCCCUGAUUCUCUAUAAGUCAUUGAAGAACAAAGAAGCAACAGACCAACAGACCAUAUCCCAGCAUUGAGUAUUUCAAGUGUUCUUAGUAUUGUUGUAUCUUUGUUAAUGUCAAUUCACUUGUAACUACUACUUAGCUUAGUUAAUUAGAAGCAUCUCGUAGGAUAUCUUUGUAAAUCAUAAACCGUGUGUUUGUGUUUUGACUAGAGUUAGUCAAAGUGGUGUCUUUUGUAAUAGAGUUAUUACAGAGAGGCUUGCAAUAUAAUUAUUGCAAGUAAGGGAGGAUUAAGAGUUUAAUUCCUAGGUUACAAUAGGUUGUAAUCUGAAGUUUGCUCGGUGUAGUGAAGCUAAAAUAGUGUAGGUUGUAGUUUUUAAUCCCGUGAGCUGAGAGUAACUAGUUUCUCUAUACAGUUUGGUGGACUCUUAGUUUACAACAGAAACAGAACAAGAAGUAGCAAAGCUGAUGGAGGAAGAUGUUGGAGAAGGCAUGCAAUACCUUCAAUCCAAAUCACUCUGCACCAUGCCCAUUUCACUUGCCGCACUUAUCUAUCCUAAUCAGCUAACGGAUGAUCAAUCAGUGGUCAAGCCAGAACCAGCAGCCCCACGUAGACUCCUUACUUAUUGAACGUGCCAUCGCGAACUCCUAAUGGCUUUGCUGCCCACCCUCCUUUAUAUCUGUACCUAUAAUCUCUUGUAUUACACUCUAAAAUCCAUGGCAAAUGCAAUCAAAGUCAGAUGCCACAA